rnacentral:rRNA from 1 species
AUACGGAGGGGACUAGCGUUGUUCGGAAUUACUGGGCGUAAAGAGUUCGUAGGCGGACUGAUAAGUAAGAGGUGAAAUCCCAGGGCUCAACCCUGGAACUGCCUUUUAAACUGUCAGUCUAGAGACCGGAAGAGGUUAGGGGAAUACCUAGUGUAGAGGUGAAAUUCGUAGAUAUUCGGUGGAACACCAGUGGCGAAGGCGCCUAACUGGUCCGGUACUGACGCUGAGGAACGAAAGCGUGGGGAGCAAACAGGAUUAGAAACCCCAGUAGUCC